rnacentral:misc_RNA from 1 species
CUAUCACCUACGACCAAGAUAACCGGUAUUUUCUUCAGUUCUGCGUCCCUUAU